rnacentral:lncRNA from 1 species
UGUGAGCCCUCCUCCAGAUCAAUGGUGUACUCUCUCUGCUCAUCAGUCUCUGGCUCAACCAGGAUGUUCUCCUGCCUCUUCAGCACUCUCAAGAACACGAAAGAGUCCAGGUUGGGUUUCGGGACUGAUUUUAAGAGGGCCACUUUCUGCAGGUUGGGCGGCAUGUGCUUUAGGGCCACAUUUUUCAGAUAAGUCUCGGUGUUUGCCAUGUACUCCUUAGCAAAGGCAAACUCCUCUGGUGAUAGAAUGGAAGGCUCUCCUUUGGCUCGAGAUUUCUCCUUCUCCAGCACAUGUGGGAAAAACUUCUCUAUCUUCGCGAGUCUACACCGCAAGUAACUACUGAGCACAUAACGGAUCCUUUCAAUCUCCAUGCGGUGGACGCUGACCUUCAAGUCUCCUUUCUUUGCCCGUUUUAGGUUUGCCUCCAUGUGGUCCAGCUGCUCCACCACACACUCAAUGAUCUCAGGCUUGCUCUCCAGCAGCUCGGGGGCAAAUUUCUCGUUCAGCCAGGCCUGUUCCAGGCUGCGGAUGAGCUGUAAUGGAGUGAGUACCAGCUCCUCGCUGCCGUCGUCCGAGUCCGGCUCCUCACCGCCCGCUGCCGCCAUCCCAACAGCCGCAGCUCCACUGCGCUGGCGCUCCG